rnacentral:rRNA from 1 species
AUACGGAGGGUGCAAGCGUUGUCCGGAUUUAUUGGGUUUAAAGGGUGUGUAGGCGGUGUAUUAAGUCAGUGGUGAAAGCCUGCGGCUCAACCGUAGAACUGCCAUUGAUACUGACACACUUGAGUAUGGACGAGGUAGGCGGAAUUUAUGGUGUAGCGGUGAAAUGCAUAGAUACCAUAAAGAACACCGAUAGCGAAGGCAGCUUACUAGGCCAUAACUGACGCUGAGGCACGAAGCGUGGGGAGCGAACAGGAUUAGAUACCCCAGUAGUCC